AUGGGCCCCUCCACAUGUACGGCAGUUGGCUCCUUCGGCAAGGAGGAUAUCGUCAUCUCCUCCGGCGAGGAGGACCAGACUCCCCCUCCCCAAGAGCAGCGACCGCCACAACAACUACGCCUCCUCUCGGAGGCCACUCUAACGGUCGGGGAAUUCACCUGUCAAACGGAGAUAAUGACGGAGCCACCGUCCCUACUGCGCUACCAUGGGAAGUGGGAGCCAGCGUCCCCACUCCAACAGAAAAACUCAUCAAUUUUGCCCCGGAGCAACCCAACUACUGUGAGUACCCGCGACAACACCUUCAAGAAAGGUUCUCGUGUGCAAAAGAAAAGGUUCCCUCAGUCGGGGUCGUUUAACAUUGGAUUUAACGCGCACACAUCAUGGAAAAUUCAUACGGCGUCGAAAGUUGUCGAUGGGUGCAACGACCACCUUAUGGAGAAGGUUCUCGUGCGUUCAGAAUCAAAAAUUACAUUCAGAGGGCUGCAGCUAGGAACAAAAAAGAUAACAUAUACAUCAGCAGACAAACUAGAAAGAAUUGGAUUCGUCAAGGUCCUGCAGAAGAGGAUGAAGGGAUGGGGAGCACGAGAUGAGGGCGGGAGAGGGUUGGAGCCGUGCGACUCGCCAGGAUGUGUGCACACCGGAUUAAUAACGCCUCCGGCUACAUUGAGGGGCGCUAAUUCAUGUGCUUACGGCCCUGUUUGUAAUCCACAUGUACCUGCUCCUGAUUCUGAAAACCUCAUAGUUGUGCCUGGAUGGAAGAACAGGCAAGUGCUCGGCGCAUAUAUUGAACAUGUGCAAUCCGUUGUGGCCAGAGAGAAUAAGCCCGUGGGUGCGCCAAUCUUUGUAACCAGAGAACAACUGGAGUAUGAAGUCAUGAUCGAUCAUGGGGCUAUUCGGACCAGGAUUCAUGGACCUGGCUGGCAGAGGUUUCUUGACGAGUACGCAGUGCGGCCUGGUGACAUGGUGUAUAUAUGCCUUACUCGCGGUGAUGGAAGAUUUUUCGUGGAAGUUGAGAUGGGUGGCAUAAGGCAAACCCCACUUCCUUAUAUCGCUCUGAAUGGCUUAUCCCUUGUGCAUCGCGAGCUCGUCGACCAGUGUGUGUACACUAGGGGGAUACGGUUGGAAUUUCCAGAGAUGAGAAAGAUGAUCAGACGUGCUUUCACCCCCUUGGAAGAUAUAUGUUGCAUCUUUGUACACAAGAUGACUGGUGUUGACAUUAGAGGUGGCUACAUGAGGCUUCCGAAGAAGGCUGUUGAUCUUAUUGAAAGCAAAACGGGCCAUAUGGAUAAUUCAGGGAGUAUUCUGCUGCAUGACGAUACAGGAGCCCUUGUAGCGGCUUCAUUCAAAAAGGCAAACGAUGGCAGACUCGUCAUACAAGGAGGUUUUCCGAAGUGUGUCGGUCAGCUUGAACUGAAGGAAAAUGAUCUUGUUGUCAUCACGUUCCACAGGCGUGGCAUGGACUAUUUAUACAUAGACAUAGAUGCCAUGUUGAACUUGGGAGCAGCUCAUAUAUGCUUGCUCUUUUGUGUACUUCGUCAUGGAUCGGAUUUGUAG
rnacentral:rRNA from 1 species